AGAUAAAAUCAUGAUUAUAUGUUCAACAAGGGCAAUAAUACGGUGAAAAGAAUUUUCGAAGCUUGUGCGUCCUCCGCGAUAAAAAUAUUCUUUUAUUUUUAUUAACACGAUAUUCAAUUUUCUUUUGUAGGAAAAAGGUAUCAUGAUAAACGAAAUCUAUUUAAAACUACAAACCUUGAAUAAGAACGAGCAAAGGGUGGUAGUUCUUUAACUUUCUAUGAGAAUCAACAGUGAUAGCUACCUAGGAUACCUUACCUUCUUGUCUAUAUAUCUAUCCUGUCAAGGAGGACCCACUAAACUCGGGCUGAAAGUAUGUUCGAUCAACAUAUGCUCAACAGAACAGUUUAAACGCGCAGCGCAUAAAUGUGCGCACUAUGACACAUGUACAUAUAAUAUGUGUAUGUAUAUUAAUAAGAAAAUUAAUCGAAUUGAAAUCGGAUUCGAUUAAUUAUGAGAGUAAACAGAAAGUGCCGAUCAGUGUCAUUGAUACGUCAUUUAACAAUUUCAUUGCAAUUAAGGACGCCUGUAGAACGAAUCUGUUACAUCGUUUUCCUAUUGCUUCUAAUCGUAUAAUUGUAUUUUAGAGGCCACUUUAUGCUCUUACCUUUUGUACGAUAUAAUUAUUUACUUCCAAAUUUAACAAUCACUUUAUUUACCGAAAAAGCUUAUGUUUCAAGAACACAUAUCAUAAAGAAGAAUAUUUCACCAAAUGAAAGUUAUAAUUGUAUAAUAAUACAAGUGUCUUGGAAAAUGUUUUUAAUUGAAACCUAUUAAAGAUGAAAUUAAUGGGUUAUAUUUUAAGUUUAGCUGGUACAUACUUCCUAUUUCCUUACUAUCAAAUCUUGAUAUUUAUAAAUCAAUUACAGUCCAUUGUGUCCUCACUGCUGUUGUUAUUUUUAUAUUAGAUUAUCAGUCAAAGUAAAGAGUAAAGGGUCAUAUUUACUGACAAAAGUAAAUUAAAUCGUCGUAGGUCGAACAAAAUAAUUCAGAGGCAUUGUAUCGAUGACAAAUGCAAUAAAAAAUGCUUUAAGUUUAACUUGUUCGAGUGUUCAUUUAGGUGUUAUUCAUCGAUCUAAAUCAUUUUUUUCCUUUUUAUUUCAAUAUCAUUAAAAAU
rnacentral:misc_RNA from 1 species